ACGUAGGGUGCGAGCGUUAAUCGGAAUUACUGGGCGUAAAGCGUGCGCAGGCUGUUUUGUAAGUCAGAUGUGAAAUCCCUGAGCUCAACUUAGGAACUGCGUUUGAAACUACAAGACUAGAAUAUGUCAGAGGGGGGUAGAAUUCCACGUGUAGCAGUGAAAUGCGUAGAGAUGUGGAGGAAUACCAAUGGCGAAGGCAGCCCCCUGGGAUAAUAUUGACGCUCAUGCACGAAAGCGUGGGGAGCAAACAGGA
rnacentral:rRNA from 1 species